GGAGCAACCACGUGGAUAGUCGGGGAAUUUGGUUAAUUAAUCAGUUUUUUCCUUCGUCAUCCCCUGGGACUGCUAUAUUUGUCCUGGACAUAUUUGAAAGAAAACAAAAAAAUCAAGGACCACGUAUUAGUGCAUAAGACUUUAGUGACUAAGAGUAGUGUUUCCAUCGAAUCCACCCCAUCUGAAAAUCUCAUGGCGCCCUAAAUUAAAAAUAUAGAGGGAUUGUCAUUAACAUACGUAUCAAGCUGGAGGUUUUAAAAAAGAAUUUGUAGAAGCGAUGCCUUAAUGCUGUUUUUGCAAUUUAUGCAAACUACAAAGUGAAUUAUUGAAGUCGUGGACGAUGGAGCAAGGGAGAUUCGCAGAAUAUUAUAGUUUUCUCAUGACGAAUGAACGGUCACAUACAAAGUGAAUCUGAUAUGAAGGAGUGAAACUAAAGGUCUGUAGAACAUUUACUUUGAGCUUAUUCAAUACAACGUACAUUUUAAGUAUAGAAACAAUAGUACACAUGUUUAAAGAAAUUAUUGAAAACAAAUUGAUGGGACAACUAAACAUUAAACUAUUACACAUAUUUACAUAAAAUUUGAAUAGACAAAAUCCAAACACAUUCUUGAAAUUUUGAAAACAUAAAUAACGUAAUAAAAUUGGGAUAAAAUUGGAAUGUGAAAACAUCUGCAAUAAUAAACGUUUUUUAAUUAUAGUUGUUUGACCAAAACUUAAAUGUGUCGGAAUGAAUGAAUUUUCAAUAAUUUGAUGGACAUUGAAUUCUGCAUAAAAAUAUUUAUAUUUAUAUAUUAAAAAGAAAAAUUUAAAAUAUUUUUCAAGCAUGUUUGAAGAAACAGUAGUAGACUACAUGGAACUUAUUCUGAAUUUUUUAUCGAUUAAGAUUUGCAGUAAUCUCAGGUAUGUCCCAUUUUCUCUUGUACCAUUUUCUCUUAAGUUAUUUUAUUUAUAAUUGUAACAAAAAUAGAUUUUGAUAACUAUCAAGAACAUUUCAAGUGUACAAGUGUUAUUAUGAUUUAAAAUAUUUUCAGUUAAAGAACCACAUCUAAAAGAAAGACGAUUCAACUAAUAUAUUUUUGUGACAAUUUCAUUAUGCACGUAUUUAUAAUUUUUAUAUUUUAGAUACUAUAACAAGCUCCUCCGAAAUUUAAUGGACCAUUGUCACAAGAAGAUUAAGGUGUGAAGUCUUUUUAUACAUUGUAUUAAUUGAAGAAAUACUGAGAACAGCCGAAUACCGAACCGGAAGAAUAUAUUAGAAUCUGUGUAUCAGAUAUUGAAAAUUUUACAUCAUGAUUUCACACGUGAUAUUUAAAAUAAUAAAAAAUCAUGUGAGUUAUUUAAAAUAAGUAAUAUUUUAAGUAACAAUAAGUAUAUAAUUAUUAUAUCUGUUAAAUUUCUAUUAAAAUUUAUAUAUUAUUGAGUAUAUUAUAGGUAUAUAAUUUGUUGUUGUCAAAAGGUUUAUAACCUACUGCCCCACAAACAUUAAGGUUGUUAAUUUGACAAUUAUUGAAUGUAUCCACCAAAAACGAGGUGAUUUGUUCGCUGAGAUGU